UACGGAAGGCAGCAGUGGGGAAUAUUGCACAAUGGGCGAAAGCCUGAUGCAGCUAUGCCGCGUGUAUGAAGAAGGCCUUAGGGUUGUAAAGUACUUUUCAUCGGGGAGGAAAAAACAAAACUAAUAAUUUUAUUUCUUGACGUUACCCGAAAAAGAAGCACCGGCUAACUCCGUGCCAGCAGCCGCGGUAAUACGGAGGGUGCUAGCGUUAAUCAGAAUUACUGGGCGUAAAGAGCACGUAGGUGGUUUUUUUAAGUCAGAUGUGAAAUCCCUGGGCUUAACCUAGGAACUGCAUUUUGAAACUGAAAUACUAGAGUAUCGUAGAGGGAGGUAGAAUUCUAGGUGUAGCGGUGAAAUGCGUAGAUAUCUGGAGGAAUACCUGUGGCGAAAGCGGCCUCCUAAACGAAUACUGACACUGAGGUGCGAAAGCGUGGGGAGCAAACAGGGAUUUAGAUACC
rnacentral:rRNA from 1 species